rnacentral:pre_miRNA from 1 species
UAAUCUCAGCUGGCAACUGUGAGAUGUUCAUACAAUCCCUCACAGUGGUCUCUGGGAUUAUG